rnacentral:misc_RNA from 1 species
GCUCGAGCAGCGACGACAUCUCCUCACGUCUCUUCAUUUUGGCGCGAGCGUUUGCUCGGCCGACGUCGGUUUCCUGUGUUGAAUACCUAUUGCGAUGGCAUUGUGUCGGCUACGUUUGUUCCGUUCCAACAUGGUCGCUGGUUCACGUGGGCCUGCCGUGCCGCGCCGACUAUCGGAAGCCUCCUGAGCGUAGCUGGUCCUUGUGGACCUCCGGUGUCCAACCCCACCGGUGCUUCGCUCCUCAGACCGGCACCCGGUGUACAAAGCGUCCGGCUUCAAACACACAAUCUAGCCGUCCCGGUCCGCCAAGAACGUCCGGUUGUCCUGGCGUGCUUCUCAAUUGGUCCAUCCGGCGGACCUAUAAAGAAGCGCAACGGUGAAUCUGCACA